AUUUGUGUUGCAUGAGAAAGCAUCUUCCUUGAAUAUACAUGUGUGUAGGAACCAAUGAAGGCCAGAAGAGUAUUCCCUGGAGAUGGAGUUACAGGCAGUCGUGAGUGGCCGUGAGAGGGCUGAAAACUGAACCGAACCCCCUGUAAGAGCAAUAGGUGUUCUGACCACUGAGCUAUCUCUCCAGUCCCAUGUGUCUACUAUUAAAACAUACAUCUUACCAAAUUCAAUUUGACCUAGUACCCAUUCCAAAUUGGACAAGUUUUUCCCCUAUUCAAAGAAUCAGAAACAGAAAAAUGUGCACUCUGUGAAUUAGUGAUAACCAAACAGCUCUUGUGUUGUAGGAAAUGCAAUCCUGUUGUGCUCAGUUUUCUUGGAUUAUCCCUGGGAAUCCAUUCUCUUCCCUUCUCUGCCCAGCUCUGGGCUGACAUAUGUACCUCUCCAGUGUUCCUCGGACAGUGCCAUGACUCCGACAGGAGGUGCAUCCUUCCAGAUUUACACCUUCUCUUCAAAGGACUCUUCCUCAAGAUGUCCAGCAAUUCCUGGAGUCCCUAGGACAUUAUUUCCGUCUCUUGCUAUUGAAGCUCAAGGAGUUGUAUGGUUACCCUUCAUUUCUGGCUUGUCAGGAUCAUUCUUUGUUGUUCCUUCAAUUGUGCUACAUCUCUGCCAAGAUUCAACUGCAAGCUGUAGACUUGAAAAGACAGGACUUCCUGUUGUCCUACAGCCCCUACUUUACAGAUAAGCAAACAGAAAGGAUUUCAGCUUCCACAAAACCAAGGACAGAAUCCACUUUCUGUGAUAGCAGAAGGUCUUUCCGGACUCUGAAGCAGUCAGGAAGGAAAGGUACAUUUCAGAAUUCAGGGUCUUGAGCAUGUGAGGAUUGGACAUUUCCCGAGGUUCAUUGCCACCAGUUUGGAAGAUCCUGCCUUUAGCAGAUCAUGCUUUGUGACCGAGAAUGUGUGAAAACCAUCUCUAAAUAAGAGCAUAUCUUGAUGAAUCCCUUGAAUCCCAGCCAAGUCCAGCAAUUCAAAAUUGUGCGUUUUACAACCUAUUUCUGCUGAAGAAUCUUCACAGUGGUUCCUUGUUGCCCUCACCACUAGGAACAAAAUCCUUGUUCUACAUUCCCGCUGAAGUUAAUGGAGGCUUGGAAAGCCUGAGAGUAAAUUUUUUAUAAAUCCUGGCUUGUAUGUUCCCAUUGCAAUUAGUGAGGAUUAGGAUGCUAUACUAGAUUUCUGUUGGUAGAGGGAAAGUAACCUUAGUUCCUUUGGCUAAUUUGUGACAAAGAAGCAUUCUUGACUUUAACCAAUGAAAUCAUGCCCGUUUGUAAAUGGAUUAGUACAGAAUUUGCCUAGCUGCUUUUUUCCCUUCCUACUUCAACUAUACUUGCUAUGGGUUUAAAAAAAUGCAUGAGAGCCGGGCGGUGGUGGCACACGC